CGCAAGCCUGACCCAGCAACGCCGCGUGGAGGAAGACGGCCUCGGGUUGUAAACUCCUUUACGGGGGAAGAGGAAGGACGGUACCCCGAGAAUAAGUCACGGCUAACUACGUGCCAGCAGCCGCGGUAAUACGUAGGUGACAAGCGGUUAUCCGGAAUUACUGGGCGUAAAGCGCACGCAGGCGGUGCGGUAAGUCUGAUGUGAAAUCUCCUGGCUUAACUGGGAGGGGUCAUUGGAAACUGCCGUACUUGAGGCGAUGAGAGGGGUGUAGAAUUCCCGGUGUAGUGGUGGAAUGCGUAGAUAUCGGGAGGAAUACCAGUGGCGAAAGCGACACCCUGGCAUUAGCCUGACGCUCAGGUGCGAAGGCGUGGGGAGCGAACGGGAUUAGAUACCCCCGGUAGUCCACGCGGUAAACGAUGAAUACUAGGUGUGGGUGGAGUGAAAUCCAUCUGUGCCGAAGCGAACGCGCUAAGUAUUCCGCCUGGGGAGUACGGCCGCAAGGCUA
rnacentral:rRNA from 1 species